UUCAGAUUGUACGGAAAGGGAAAACUAGUGCGAUUUUACUUUAGAAAGAUAUUAGCCUUCUCUCGACGUAGUUUCAACGGGAUUUAAAUUGAGUGUUUUGACGUUCGAGCGAAGCAUGGUGCGCAUGGGGUUGUUUUGAUAUAAAAUUUUGAUAAGUUUGUCGAUUUCAUGAAAUUUUAAAAACUUACCUUUGCUUCAGAAGUCAGGAAAAUUAUUUUUCCUAGAAAGAAUAUCAAAAUUUUAAAAGAAAUUUCGGAAAAAUAUGACUUUGAUCUCAGAAGUAAAAAGAACAAAAUGAAAAUUUGGUGAAUUAUUUAGUGCAAUUUAAAGUGGAAUAAAACUCAUAUUACUUGAAAGAAAACUCUCAAGAUCCGGACGGAUUUAAAUCUGAAAUUUAUUGACACUGAGUGAUUUUCAAUCAUGUUUAGACACUGAGGAGGAUUUUUUUCUCUGUUGAAUCGAAAUUAUAAGAGAAGUUAUUUGGGCUUUGCCGUUACCUCAGAAUUUGGUUACAUAAAAGAGGUUGAAAAGAUGAAUUGCUUCUAGAAUAUAUUCUCUAUCGUAAUCUACGUAUUUCAAUUGUUAAUGAGAAAUUUAGAUUUAACUGAAGAAAGUAAUUUGGAAGUAUGAAAUACUACUUAAUCUUGAGGUGGCUUUUCUACUUAGUAUUCGCAUCCAGCAACUCAAAGGUAGUAUCUUUUCUUUAGAUUUUCUUUCCGGAUUAAAUUAAAUUAUUUAAAAAGAAAGAAAAGUUUUUGCUCCCAAAGGAGAAAUUAAAUCAAAAGACAACUUGAAUAUUUUGAAAAAAAAAUAACUACGAAUUUUAAGAGUUUGUGUUUUUCAAAGAUUAACGAGCGUGCUUUUGAAAGAAAACGACAUCUACUGAAGAUUAGACUGAAACUUAAAUUUUGAAGCUUGAAACUUCAGAAAACUUGACUUUUUAAAACAGAUUUUUAAUGAAUAACAAAUUGCUUCUUGGAUACUAAGUUAUUCUCUGUUUAAAUAAAAUUAUUUCCGCCUCUAUUUUAUAUUGUUACUUAUGGUAUUUCAGUAUGGAGUUAUCCUUA